UGCCGCUUGAAUUUAUUAUAAGCGGUAAAUCCUGCCCAGUGAGUCUCUUCAACGGCCGCGGUAUCCUAACCGUGCAAAGGUAGCAUAAUCAUUUGCCCAUUAAUUGUGGGCUAGAAUGAAAGGACAAACGAGGGCACAGCUGUCUCCUUUAGGUCAAUAAAACUUAAUCUCUAAGUGAAGAAGCUUAGAUACCUUCGCAGGACAAGAAGACCCUAUAGAGCUUUACCUACUUAAUGUAAACUAAUCAUUAUUCGGUUCGGUUGGGGCGACCAGGGAAUAUAAAACCUCCCUAAUUAUUUAGACCUACCAGUCAUUUAAAGAUCCUAUUUAAGAUCAAAGAAUUCAGCUACCUUAGGGAUAACAGGCUAAUUCUCCUAGAGAGCCCUUAUCGACAGGAGAGGUUGGCACCUCGAUGUUGGCUUAGGACUUCUACAUGACGCAGCAGUCAUGAAAAGAUGGUUUGUUCAACCAUUAAAUUCCU
rnacentral:rRNA from 1 species